UUAAACUCUGGACCUCUGGAGCAGCAGCCAGCGCUCUUAACCUCUGAACCAUCAUCUCUCUAGCCUCCAGAACUUUAAUGUUAAAGAUCUUUAGUAGACCACCCAUUCUUUGUUGGGUUGGGGUCUUCUCUCUGUAAAUGGAUAUAACAACAUUGGCAUUCAGUAGUGAUAAAAGCUAACAAUGCCUGUGGCACUGAGACAUGAAAGAUGGAGAAAUAAGGCCUGGAGGUGGCUGCUACACUGAGAGGCAGGUCCCUUGACCCAUCAUUUAUUUCCUAAUCCACACUGUACGUUAGCUGAGGGAAAGAGUGGGGAAAGAAGUGUAAAGGUAGCUGGGAAAGUAGGCAGAGACCAGACUGGUGGAGGAGCUAUGCCUCCCCAGUUCCUGUUACUGUCUUUGGGAGCUGUGUAUCAGUGGGAUUAUUGUAAUGGCAUUAAGAGAGGACCCACAGGCACCAUGUCCUACUGCAGUGUGUACUGACCCACUGUGAGGUUAAAGGAGCCUUCCCUUGAAUUUUUUUCUUUUUUCUUUUUGAUGUUGAGCUCCCUAAAAGAAAGGACAGUAGGGGCUGGAGAGACGGCUCAGUGGUUAGGAGUACCAACUGCUUUUCCAGAGGUCCCGAGUUCAAUUCCCAGCAACCACAUGGUGGCUCACAACCAUCUGUAAUGGGAUCCGAUGCUGUCUUCUAGUAUGUCUGAGGACAGACAGUACUCUCAUAUAUGUAAAAUAAAUAAAAUCUUUUAAAAGAGAAAAAGAACAGUGGUUUUCUCUAAGUAUCCCAUUUGACGUCUCUGAUCUGAGAGCACGUUUUAAGACUCUAAAUACAUACACCUACUCCAUUAUCAAAAUACAGUGUGCUAUCUUGAAUUUCCUUUGGGCUCAUGGAUUCUCUAUCAUUUGCUGACGCUAUUCUCAAAUCUGGGCCCACAAAGAGCGAGGGAAAAGGACACAUCUGAUUUUUGUGCAGUUUGCGUCCUCAUAAUGAAUUAGAAGAAAGGCCUGGUGGUACAGGCUGGAAAUCCCAGUACUCAGGAAGUUGAGGCAGGAGGAUUCUGUCUGAGUUCAGGACCAGUCUGGACAACAGAGACAGAGACAGAGACAGAGACAGAGACUCAGAUUUGUAAGUUUUCAGAGUUAUUUUCUCUCUCCUCCACUGUGGUUAAGAUGAACAAACAAACCCUCCCCGGCUAGGACUGUAUCUCUGCAGUAGGACAGGUGCUUAGCAGCAGGGUGUGGUGCCUUGCACCUGUAGGUCCCUGUUUGGGAAACUAGAUAAGAGAACUGCCGUGAGCUUGAGCUUAGCCUAAGCUAUCCAGUGAGAUGGAGGCCAGCCCAGCUUAUAUAGUGCUUUCUAGACCAGGCAAGCCUUGCUACAGAGUGUGACCCCGUCUCUAGCUCCUCCUCUUCCCCCUCACAGAUGUGCUUGGCACAUCUGAAGCCUUGGACUCAAUCCCCCAGCACCGAGGCUUCUAAACAGCCCUCAGAUUCUGGUGAAGCUGUAGGGCAGCGUCUGUAGCACCGCAUCUUGCCAACACCACCUAUGUCCGUACAGCCACGGAGCAGAGGUCCUAGCCAGAGCUGAGCUGGGCCUUAGUGGAGAGGCACAGUCUUUUUCAGUGUGCCUGUCAAGAUUCCUGAGAAGCACCAGGAAUGGUGGGGCACACUUUUAACCCCAGCACUCUGGAGGAAAAGACUGAGAUAUCUAGGUAGUGCCACCGCUGCUGAUUCCUGUUUGUUAUCCUGACUCUAGCGAACUGGACUGCUGUGCAUUUGUGAAGUGUUUGCAAGUGGGUAGAGCUGCCGCUGCUAACCUGUGAACUGAACUGCUGAUUUCCAGACAUCACAGACAGGAGUUGCUUCAAAGAACCUUUCUGAACAGGUCCACUUCCCUCAUAUCCUUUGUUUUCCACUAUCACCGGUGGGUGAUGGGCUACAAGGAGGGUUAAAGUGAUUAAGAACCAUCAUUAAAAAUAGGUGUUUGAAAAAAUUAAAAUUACAACUAGCCUGUGUAACACAAAUGUUGUUUUCCUUGUUAUAUAUUGCAAUACUGCUUUGCAAAAUGACUGCACAUUUAGAUUACCUAUGGUUACAUUAAGCAUGGGCAUGCCAAUUUCACCAAAAUGUUUCUAGCAUUGGGUCCUACCACUGACAUUUUUUUUUUCUUUUUCUCUGCUGGUAAUCUUUAACGAGUAUGUUUUAAGCAUCUCCUUUCUGAAAGACAUCAUGUUAGAUGUUUUUUAAGGUGGCAGAGCAGGCAAUCCAGAUUUUUACUCUAGUGGGUCGAGUGAUCAUGAAUAGGUAACACACACACUGAGGCAGGAAACAGCGUGCUAGGUUAGGGGUAUGUCGCACACCAAGCUACAAUAACAAAAUAUAGGGUUUCUCCUGAUUUUCUU